AGAGUUUGAUCCUGGCUCAUAUUGAACGCUGGCGGCAUGGCUAAAGCAUGCAAGUCGAACGAGACUCGUAGCAAUACGGGAAAAGUGGCGGAAGGGUCAGUAAUACGAUCGAACGUACCCUGAGGUGGUGGAUAGGCAUGGGAAACUGUGCGUAAUACACCAUGAUCUCUCCGGAGCAAAGCCGCAAGGCGCCUUUGGAGCGGCGAUCGUCCUAUCAGCUAGUUGGCGGGGUAACGGCCCACCAAGGCGAAGACGGGUAGCGGGUGUGAGAGCACGGCCCGCGACAUCGAAACUGAGACACUGCUCGGACUCCUACGGGAGGCUGCAGCGACGAAUCUUCCGCAAUGGGCGAAAGCCUGACGGAGCAAUGCCGCGUGUGGGAUGAAGCGGCUACGCCGUGUAAACCACUGUCAGGUGAUAAAAACACUGAUUGUCACCAGAGGAAGGGCCGGCUAACCCUGUGCCAGCAGCCGCGGUAAGACAGGGGGCCCGAGCGUUAAUCGGAAUCACUGGGCUUAAAGGGUGCGUAGGCGGAUCAGCAAGUGUUUCGUGAAAACCCACGGCUCAACCGUGGAAUUGCGGGGCAAACUGCUGAUCUUGAGGGAAGUAUGGGCGGACAGAACUAUCGGUGGAGCGGUGAAAUGCGUAGAUAUCGAUAGGAAUGCCGAUGGCGAAGGCGGUCCGCUGGGCUUCUCCUGACGCUCAGGCACGAAAGCGGGGGGAGCAAACAGGAUUAGAUACCCUGGUAGUCCACGCCGUAAACGAUGCGCACUAGACCGGUGCGGCUCUGACGCCGUAUCGGUCGCAGUAAAAACGCUAAGUGCGCCGCCUGGGGAGUACGGUCGCAAGGCUAAAACUCAAAGGAAUUGACGGGGGCUCACACAAGCGGUGGAGCAUGUUGCUUAAUUCGAGGCAACGCGAAGAACCUUACCUAGUCUUGACAUGCUUGGAUUAACUCCCGGAAACGGGAGCCACACCCGCAAGGGUGGAACAAGCACAGGUGCUGCAUGGCUGUCGUCAGCUCGUGCUGUGAAGUGUCGGGUUAAGUCCCUUAACGAGCGCAACCCCUGUCGCUAGUUGCUCAUGGGUCAUGCCGAGUACUCUAGCGAGACUGCCGGUGUCAAACCGGAGGAAGGUGGGGAUGACGUCAAGUCCUCAUGUCCUUUAUGACUAGGGUUGCAAACGUGCUACAAUGGCGCGUACAAAGCGAUGCAAGACAGCAAUGUGGAGCAAAUCGCAAAAAGCGCGCCCCAGUUCGGAUUGCAGGCUGCAACUCGCCUGCAUGAAGCCGGAAUCGCUAGUAAUCGCGGAUCAGCUACGCCGCGGUGAAUAUGUUCCUGAGCCUUGUACACACCGCCCGUCAAGUCAUGGAAGCCGGUAGUGCCCGAAGUCGCCACACCACUGUGGUGCCCACGGCAAGAUCGGUGACUGGGACUAAGUCGUAACAAGGUA
rnacentral:rRNA from 1 species